rnacentral:rRNA from 1 species
UGGGGAAUUUUGGACAAUGGGCGCAAGCCUGAUCCAGCAAUGCCGCGUGAGUGAAGAAGGCCUUCGGGUUGUAAAGCUCUUUUGUCAGGGAAGAAACGGCUCGAGCUAAUAUCUUGGGCUAAUGACGGUACCUGAAGAAUAAGCACCAGCUAACUACGUGCCAGCAGCCGCGGUAAUACGUAGGGUGCAAGCGUUAAUCGGAAUUACUGGGCGUAAAGCGUGCGCAGGCGGUUUUGUAAGUCUGAUGUGAAAGCCCCGGGCUCAACCUGGGAAUUGCAUUGGAGACUGCAAGGCUUGAAUCUGGCAGAGGGGGGUAGAAUUCCACGUGUAGCAGUGAAAUGCGUAGAGAUGUGGAGGAACACCGAUGGCGAAGGCAGCCCCCUGGGUCAAGAUUGACGCUCAUGCACGAAAGCGUGGGGAGCAAA